ACUAUUUUGGCAGAAAAAUGUAAUGAUUUUAGAAGUCAUGAAUGUAUAAUAAAUAUUAUAUAAAUAGUA
rnacentral:tRNA from 1 species